rnacentral:rRNA from 1 species
UAGGGAAUCUUCGGCAAUGGGGGGAACCCUGACCGAGCAACGCCGCGUGAGUGAAGAAGGUUUUCGGAUCGUAAAUCUCUGUUGUUAAGGAAGAACGAGUGUGAGAAUGGAAAGUUCAUGCUGUGACGGUACUUAACCAGAAAGGGACGGCUAACUACGUGCCAGCAGCCGCGGUAAUACGUAGGUCCCGAGCGUUGUCCGGAUUUAUUGGGCGUAAAGCGAGCGCAGGCGGUUAGAAAAGUCUGAAGUGAAAGGCAGUGGCUCAACCAUUGUAGGCUUUGGAAACUGUUUAACUUGAGUGCAGAAGGGGAGAGUGGAAUUCCAUGUGUAGCGGUGAAAGGCGUAGAUAUAUGGAGGAACACCGGUGGCGAAAGCGGCUCUCUGGUCUGUAACUGACGCUGAGGCUCGAAAGCGUGGGGAGCGAACAGG